UUCAUCCUACGGGGGGCAGCAGUGGGGAAUAUUGCACAAUGGGGGAAACCCUGAUGCAGCGACGCCGCGUGGGUGAAGAAGUAUUUCGGUAUGUAAAGCCCUAUCAGCAGGGAAGAAGAAUGACGGUACCUGACUAAGAAGCACCGGCUAACUACGUGCCAGCAGCCGCGGUAAUACGUAGGGGGCAAGCGUUAUCCGGAUUUACUGGGUGUAAAGGGGGCGCAGACGGCGAUGCAAGCCAGGAGUGAAAGCCCGGGGCCCAACCCCGGGACUGCUCUUGGAACUGCGUGGC
rnacentral:rRNA from 1 species